rnacentral:rRNA from 1 species
CCCUACGGGGGGCAGCAGUGGGGAAUAUUGCACAAUGGGGGAAACCCUGAUGCAGCGACGCCGCGUGAGUGAGGAAGUAUUUCGGUAUGUAAAGCUCUAUCAGCAGGGAAGAGAAAGGACGGUACCUAAGGAGGAAGCCCCGGCUAACUAUGUGCCAGCAGCCGCGGUAAUACAUAGGGGGCAAGCGUUAUCCGGAAUUAUUGGGUGUAAAGGGUGCGUAGACGGGAAAUUAAGUUAGUUGUGAAAUCCCCAGGCUCAACUUGGGAAUUGCAACUAAAACUGGUUUUCUUGAGUACUGGAGAGGA